rnacentral:lncRNA from 1 species
AUGUGGUUUCUUGGAUCCAUGGAAACAAUAAAUCUGGAUAAACAUGAGGGCAGCCCUGCUGCUUCUCUGGUUUUCUUAGUGAUCUGUCCUGAUAGAAGCUUGGAAAGAAGAGAUGAAAUCCCAGGAGAAAACAUUGGCCUCCUUUUCCAAAAGGUUCCAGAUUUGCUCCCCUUUGAGAAGGCAAGAAAUACAAAACAUAACAAAUAUGAAGUCAUGGAAAACAAAACUAAUGUUUAUUGAACUGAAUUUAAUGGAAGGCAGCCGGACAUAACAGAUGGAGCUGGUCUUAGAAUCAGAAAGAAUUCAACUCAUGUCUUGCCACAUACUAGCUGUGAUUUGUUGGACCUUAACCUCUCUAUGCUCUUGUCAACAAAGACUGUAAAUUGCAGCAGUGUUGUUAAUCUGUGUUUAUAUUGGUAGAGGGCAUUCUUUACACCAACGAAACCACAGAAUCCGGCUUUAAAAAAACAAAAACAUAAA